UCUCACAUAGUUCUUUGUUGUGUGCUGCAACUUUCAUGCUGCUGCAGCAGCUGCUUCGCUUCGUGUCUGCCUGAAGUUUUGGGAUAUUUGACAUAUUUCGCAUUUUCCCCGCUGCCGCUUUGCUGAUUCAGAGCCUCGUGUGUUUAGCAGGGAGUCUAUCUGUACUUUCCUCAGCCACCCGUGUUGUAAUUACAAUGACUUUUUAAUCGUCCCUCGGACUUUAGUUGGAGUUUGUUGAGAUGACUGUACAAAGACUACACACUUAAGGGUGGGUUGUGGCCGGAGCCGUCAUCAUUGCGUCGGAGUGGAGUUGCCGUGGUAGCCCUGACGGGGCUCAGGAGGAGGGUGACGAUGG